rnacentral:rRNA from 1 species
UUAAACGGCCGCGGUAUCAUAACCGUGCAAAGGUAGCGUAAUCACUUGUCUCCUAAAUAGAGACCCGUAUGAAUGGCUAACUGAGGGCCCAACUGUCCCUUUUACCCAAUCAAUGAAACUGAUCUUUCAGUACAAAAGCUGAAAUACUACCACAAGACGAGAAGACCCUGUGGAGCUUUAAACCUACUACUAUUGACACCCCCCAAAUAGUAUAAAUUUUAAGUUGGGGCGACUACGGAGAAAAAAGAACCCUCCACGACAAAUGGUUAACCCCCACAACCAAGGCCCACAAGCCAAACAAUGCUUGCUGACCCAGUAACACUGCAAAUCGAACCAAGUUACCCCAGGGAUAACAGCGCCAUCUCCCUCAAGAGUCCAUAUCGCCAGGGAGGCUUACGACCUCGAUGUUGGAUCAGGACACCCCGGUGGUGCAGCCACUACCAAAGGUUCGUUUGUUCAACGAUCAACGUCCUACGUGAUCUGACUGA